CCUACGGGAGGCAGCAGUGGGGAAUAUUGGACAAUGGGCGCAAGCCUGAUCCAGCCAUGCCGCGUGAGUGACGAAGGCCUUAGGGUUGUAAAGCUCUUUUGGCGGGGACGAUAAUGACGGUACCCGCAGAAUAAGCUCCGGCUAACUUCGUGCCAGCAGCCGCGGUAAU
rnacentral:rRNA from 1 species